rnacentral:rRNA from 1 species
UGUACACUAUGUGUACGCGGUAGAGGAGCUUUCUGUAUGGGUUGAAGUCGUACCGUAAGGAGCGGUGGACUGUACAGAAGUGAGAAUGCUGGCAUAAGUAGCGAGAAAUAAGUGAGAAUCUUAUUGGCCGAAAACCUAAGGUUUCCUGAGGAAGGUUCGUCCGCUCAGGGUUAGUCGGGACCUAAGCCGAGGCCGAAAGGCGUAGGUGAUGGACAAUCGGUUGAUAUUCCGAUACCACCUAUUUACGUUUGAGAAAUGGGGUGACGCAGUAGGAUAAGAUGUGCGCACUAUUGGAUGUGCGUCUAAGCACUUAGGCAUGCUUGAUAGGCAAAUCCGUCGAGCUAAGCUGAGGUGUGAUGGGGAGCCAUUUAUGGCGAAGUAUCUGAUUCCACACUGCCAAGAAAAGCCUCUAUCGAGUGAAUAGGUGCCCGUACCGCAAACCGACACAGGUAGGUGAGGAGAGAAUCCUAAGGCCAUCGGAAGAAUUGCUGUUAAGGAACUCGGCAA